rnacentral:rRNA from 1 species
GACGAACGCUGGCGGCGUGCCUAAUACAUGCAAGUUGAGCGCUGAAGGUUGGUACUUGUACCAACUGGAUGAGCAGCGAACGGGUGAGUAACGCGUGGGGAAUCUGCCUUUGAGCGGGGGACAACAUUUGGAAACGAAUGCUAAUACCGCAUAAAAACUUUAAACACAAGUUUUAAGUUUGAAAGAUGCAAUUGCAUCACUCAAAGAUGAUCCCGCGUUGUAUUAGCUAGUUGGUGAGGUAAAGGCUCACCAAGGCGAUGCUACAUAGCCGACCUGAGAGGGUGAGCAGCCACAUUGGGACGGAGACACGGCCCAAACUCCUACGGGAGGCAGCAGUAGGGAAUCGUCGGCAAGGGACGAAAGUCUGACCGAGCAACGCCGCGUGAGUGAAGAAGGUUGUCGGAUCGUAAAACUCUGUUGGUAGAGAAGAACGUGGGUGAGAGUGGAAAGCUCAUCAAGUGACGGUAACUACCCAGAAAGGGACGGCUAACUACGUG